UGACGAUAAACUCAUUGCUAGGUGCAUACGAGGACCAAAGUGACAGAAAUCUGGUAUACAUGACCAGAUUGAGAAACAUAGAUAAGGUAGAUACAAGAGUUCAAAUAGACUUCAGGCUUGCAUACUGCAUGAUCAGAUUGCCUCCAGCCACCAUUUUAGAUUGCCUUGAACCUUGCUUUCAUCCUGCAUAAACAAAAAAAAAACAGUUCAACAUGUGCUCUCAGCAUAGACAAAAAAAACAGUACAGGAUCAUAUCACAAAUUAGUUAAAUUAUUAAGAUAGAUAAGUAAGGAAAAAAUCAUAGAAACCUGAUAUCAUACUCUAGAAUUUUUUUGUGUGGGACCAAAUUUAUUCCAGAUGUGUUCCAUCAUAGAAAAACACCCUGCCAGACAAACUCAUGUACUGAACAACAUGAGAAUAUUGCAAAUUGACUGAAAAAUUGACUCAUACAGCAGAAUAUUGCAAACUCAUGGACUGCAGUGGACCGAGGAUCAAAUUCAAUGAAAAAUUGACUUAUAGACUUCAUCUAUAGUUCCUAGGAAUAAGUAUAGAUAAUUCACAUACGAACUGAAUUUAUACCAUGAACAUGACUGACCAUACAACAUGACUGAUCAUACAACAUGACUGAUCUAUUGACUAACUGUACUAGGAGAGCAAAUUUAAGUGUCCAGGAACUAAUACUCAUGCAUACAUAGCAUAUAUGGUACUAUGAAUAAAUUGUGAAAUGAGAAAUAAAUACCAAUUUGGCUCAUGUUGGUUUCCAUGAAGAAAAGCGAAAUUUGGGGGAAUGGCACCCCAUCCUGCUUCGUGCGGUGGCGGUGGCGGUGGCGGCAUGGUUGACGACGGUGCAGACAGGGCAGGAGAAGAUGGAUUUGGCGCAGCGGGACUGGGAUUCGAUGCAGCAGGGGCAGACAUGGGCGGCUGGGGCAGCUGAACUGGAGGCGGAGCAGGUGCCGACGACCUCUUCAACCCCAGCUGCUUGCCCCUGCGGACCUUCCCUCCUCUGCCUUGCGGAUCUGUGCCGCCAUGAAUCCGACUGCCGGAGACGGUUCUAUGGCUGGAGGAUCUGGCGCCGUAACCCUAGUUCGCGGGCGGUGCACAGGAGAGAUGGUGGCGGGAGUAAAGGAUUGGGGAGAAGGAGGUGAGAGCUCGCGGUGCCG
rnacentral:lncRNA from 1 species